rnacentral:rRNA from 1 species
AUUGAACGCUGGCGGCAUGCCUUACACAUGCAAGUCGAACGGUAACAGGUCUUCGGAUGCUGACGAGUGGCGAACGGGUGAGUAAUACAUCGGAACGUGCCUAGUAGUGGGGGAUAACUACUCGAAAGAGUGGCUAAUACCGCAUGAGAUCUACGGAUGAAAGCAGGGGAUCGCAAGACCUUGUGCUACUAGAGCGGCCGAUGGCGGGUUAGGUAGUUGGUGGGAUAAAAGCUUACCAAGCCGACGAUCUGUAGCUGGUCUGAGAGGACGAUCAGCCACACUGGGACUGAGACACGGCCCAGACUCCUACGGGAGGCAGCAGUGGGGAAUUUUGGACAAUGGGCGCAAGCCUGAUCCAGCAAUGCCGCGUGCAGGAUGAAGGCCUUCGGGUUGUAAACUGCUUUUGUACGGAACGAAAAGCCCCGGGUUAAUACCCUGGGGUCAUGACGGUACCGUAAGAAUAAGCACCGGCUAACUACGUGCCAGCCGCCGCGGUAA